ACCAGGAUGGCCGAGUGGUUAAGGCGUUGGAGUUAAGUUCCAAUGUACGAAUGUACGCGUGGGUUCAAACCUCACUCCUGGUA
rfam:Nematostella vectensis strain CH2 x CH6 NEMVEscaffold_350_Cont24649, whole genome shotgun sequence.